rnacentral:tRNA from 1 species
GGGUGCUUAGCUCAGUUGUAGAGCGGCGCCCUUACAAGGCGUAGGUCGGGAGUUCGAGCCUCUCAGCACCCACCA